GCGGAUGUGGUGCACGGUGCACCGCUGCCUUCAUUAUCAGGGGAAUUAAAUAGUAAAGCAGCUGCUAGGGUUCAAUUCCCUGCGUCCGCG